GUCUUAUUGAUUAUAAUUUUAAGUCUAAUCUGCCCAAUGAAUUAUUAAAUGGCUGCAGUAUUUUAACUGUACAAAGGUAGCAUAAUAAUUAGUUUCUUAAUUAGGAACUGGAAUGAAGGAUUGAACGAGAUAAUAACUGUCUUAGUUUAAAUAAAAGAAUUUUAUUUUUAAGUAAAAAAGCUUAAAUAUAUUUAAAAGACGAGAAGACCCUAUAGAAUUUUAUAAUAUAAUAUUAUAUAAAUUAUAGUAAAAUAUUUUUUUAUUUUUAUUAAAUUAUUUUGUUGGGGUGAUGGAAAAAUUUAUUUAACUUUUUUUUUAUGUUUUUCAUUAAUUUAUGUAUAUUUGAUCCAAUAGUUUUGAUUAUAAGAAUAAAUUACCUUAGGGAUAACAGCGUUAUUUUUUUAGAGAGUUCUAAUCGAUAAGAAAGAUUGCGACCUCGAUGUUGGAUUAAAGUUAAUUUUUAAUGUAGGAGUUAAAAAUAUUAAGUCUGUUCGACUUUUAAAACUUUACAUGAUCUGAGUUUAAACCGGUGUGAGCCAGGUUGGAUUCUAUCUUUAAUAUAUUAUGAUAUUUUAGUACGAAAGGACCAAAUAUCUACUAUAAUAGUUAAAAAAUAGAAUUAUA
rnacentral:rRNA from 1 species